AUUGAACGCUGGCGGAAUGCUUUACACAUGCAAGUCGAACGGCAGCACGGACUUCGGUCUGGUGGCGAGUGGCGAACGGGUGAGUAAUGUAUCGGAACGUGCCCAGUCGGGGGGGAUAACGUAGUGAAAAUUACGCUAAUACCGCAUACGAUCUAUGGAUGAAAGCGGGGGAUCGCAAGACCUCGCGCGAUUGGAGCGGCCGAUAACAGAUUAGGUAGUUGGUGGGGUAAAGGCCCACCAAGCCAACGAUCUGUAGCUGGUCUGAGAGGACGACCCGCCACACUGGAACUGAGACACGGUCCAGACUCCUACGGGAGGCAGCAGUGGGGAAUUUUGGACAAUGGGCGAAAGCCUGAUCCAGCCAUUCCGCGUGCAGGAUGAAGGCCCUCGGGUUGUAAACUGCUUUUGUACAGAACGAAAAGGUUUCUACUAAUACUAGGAGCUCAUGACGGUACUGUAAGAAUAAGCACCGGCUAACUACGUGCCAGCAGCCGCCGUAA
rnacentral:rRNA from 1 species